rnacentral:rRNA from 2 species
UACGGAGGGUGCAAGCGUUAAUCGGAAUUACUGGGCGUAAAGCGCACGUAGGCGGUUUGUUAAGUUGGAUGUGAAAGCCCCGGGCUCAACCUGGGAAUUGCAUUCAAGACUGGCAAGCUAGAGUAUGUGAGAGGGGGGUAGAAUUCCAAGUGUAGCGGUGAAAUGCGUAGAGAUUUGGAGGAAUACCAGUGGCGAAGGCGGCCCCCUGGCACAAUACUGACGCUCAGGUGCGAAAGCGUGGGGAGCAAACAGG